rnacentral:rRNA from 1 species
GAUGAACGCUGGCGGCGUGCUUAACACAUGCAAGUCGAACGAAGCAACUUAUUACGAUCCCUUCGGGGUGACGAUUUGUUGACUGAGUGGCGGACGGGUGAGUAACGCGUGGGUAACCUACCUUGUACAGGGGGAUAACAGUUGGAAACGACUGCUAAUACCGCAUAAGCGCACAGCAUCGCAUGAUGCAGUGCGAAAAGUUUUUCGGUAUAAGAUGGACCCGCGUCUGAUUAGCUAGUUGGUGAGGUAACGGCCCACCAAGGCGACGAUCAGUAGCCGACCUGAGAGGGUGACCGGCCACAUUGGGACUGAGACACGGCCCAAACUCC